UACAGAGGUCUCAAGCGUUGUUCGGAUUCAUUGGGCGUAAAGGGUGUGUAGGUGGCGCCGUAAGUCGGGUGUGAAAUUUCGGAGCUUAACUCCGAAACUGCAUUCGAUACUGCGGUGCUUGAGGACUUGAGAGGAGACUGGAAUUCAUGGUGUAGCAGUGAAAUGCGUAGAGAUCAUGAGGAAGACCAGUGGCGAAGGUGGGUCUCUGGACAGUUCCUGACACUGAGACACGAAGGCCAGGGGAGCAAACGGG
rnacentral:rRNA from 1 species